rnacentral:lncRNA from 1 species
GAAGAUGGACCUUGACCCGUUACCUAUAGAGAGGUAGGAACCAAAGGUAUAAAAAGUGAUGUGAUCCGGCCCGGGUUAAUUGAGUCGUUUCACGUAAUUGCCCGAUCGUCGAUGAGGAAUAGUAGAGUUAUCGGAAAUAGGAUGAGAUAAGGCUAAAGAUGCGGAAGCUUUCAAAUGGUUUUAAAAGGUGGGCUAAGGAGAUGGUAAAUUUAUAAAGGGUAGUAGGU